rnacentral:rRNA from 1 species
AUUGAACGCUGGCGGCAGGCCUAACACAUGCAAGUCGAACGAGUGGCGGACGGGUGAGUAAUGUCUGGGAAACUGCCCGAUGGAGGGGGAUAACUACUGGAAACGGUAGCUAACACCGCAUACCAUCAGAUGUGCCCAGAUGGGAUUAGCUUGUAGGUGGGGUAACGGCUCACCAAGGCGACGAUCCCUAGCUGGUCUGAGAGGAUGACCAGGCACACUGGAACGGAUACACGAUCCAGACUCCUACGGGAGGCAGCAGUUGGGAAUAUUGCACAAUGGGCGCAAGCCUGAUGCAGCCAUGCCGCGUGUAUGAAUAAGGCCUUCGGGUUGUAAAGUACUUUCAGCGAGGAGGCGUUACUCGCAGAAGAAGCACCGGCUAACUCCGUGCCAGCAGCCGCGGUAAUUC